rnacentral:tRNA from 1 species
GGUUCCAUAGCAUAGCAGUUAGCACAUCCGCUUUACAUGCAGAAGGUCCUGGGUUUGUGCCCCAGUGGAGCCA